CAUUACCAGUAGCAUCGGUUGUUAGCAUGGGCCAAACGUGCAAGACUGUGUUUGAGCUGUUUUGUUCGUCCGGCUCGCGUUAACACUUGGUGCGUUAUCU
rnacentral:pre_miRNA from 1 species